UAACUGCGCAUUCUUCCUUGCAGCUUGCCCUAGUGGAAAUGGGCAAUCAGUCCCUUGCUUCAGGAAAGCAGUGAGCGACCAAAAAAGGAACGAGAGGCGGAGUAUUCUCUAUGAAGAUCCAUCUUCCCUGGCCUGAUCUCACCAUCGAUGGCCUCACCUAACCUUCCCCCGCCCAACCCCAUUCUUCUCCAUCUUCAGAAACUCCUCGCCAUUGAAACACAUCUUCUUUAGAAAUUCCUCCGCCAUGUUCUUCAGAAACUCCUCCGCUUUGUUCUCCAGCUGCCGCUCCUCCUCCGCCUUCCACUCCCCAAGAAAUUCUCUCUAUUUCUAGAUCUCUCUCUCGUUCCUUCUCUCUCUAGCCGCUGAUUCUCGGCGUCGCCGACUCCGAUUCCCGCUUUCGCCGUCGCCGAUUCUCGCUGUCGCCACCGCCGAUUCUCGUCGUCGCCACCUAGUUGCCGACAAACCCGAGAUCUCUCUCCUCACCAUCAACAUCUCCUCCUUCUUUCCGAAUACACAUUUGAGUUCUGACUCAAAUGCUUCGGGAGGGUACUUUGAGGUUUUUAAGAAUACUCAUUGGAGCGAAUCACGUGGAUGAACAACUGAGAGAGCAAAGGAAGAUUAUGAACAAAUGAUCCAAAUUCGCAAUGCUCGUUUAAGUGAAGUACCACAGGGGUCAGAACUUGACUCUGAUGCGGAGGAAGAAAUUUACUCUCAAGUUUUGUCAAGUGAGAGGUAUGAAAAAUAUGGUUUCCAGCGUGGCAUAGAUCCUGUACUAAGAAAAGCGUUACAAGUUCGCAAAUCUAAAGGGUCAGAAUAUUAAAAGCUUCAAAAUGAAGUUCAGGAAAACAAACGCCAUAUGUCAGAUAUGAAAAUUCUAAUGAAGCAACAGCAUGAGCUUAUUUAAAAGCUAUUUCAACAGAUAAAUCCGCCAUCAGAUCAUCUUGGACCUUCCGUCCCAAGAAGAGAAGAUCCUCCGGCACUGCCACCACCGGCCUCAGUUUUGUUAGAGCGUUUAAUUCUUGUAAUAUUAAGAUUUUACUAAUACAAUAUUUGCAUAAG